AGUUUUUAAAGUCAUACACAAUAUGGCGGCGAUUAUGCGGAAAUGAAAUUGAAUGUUACUUCGAACACGUUCUUCUACAAAAUAACCGACCUGUAUUUAGUGCUAUUGCUUUAACAUCAAUCGAAGCAAAAAUGGCAUCAAUAUAUGCGUCUAAAAAUGUUAAAUUUAGAUGGAGACAAUCCAGAAAUUAGCCGCCAGGAAGUGAUCGAUUUCGGACACGAAGGAAGUGCCUAGAUACAAGGCUAGUAUUGUUAACAUCAUCUGAUACAAUCAACUGGAACAAAGCUGAAAUGGCUGCCUGACCUGACUUAAAAAUUGGAUGGCAGAACAUCAGACUAGAAGAUUACAAGUAUUGAGGUGGACAAAAUGAAACCUGAGCCUACCAAAGCUGACAGAUUGCACAAGAAACACAUAAAUGCAGAUUGGAAGAUUCAUUCUCUGGAAAGUAGAAAAGGGCAUGUUACAUACUGUUAUCACUGCCAUGACAGAAACCAUAUUGAGGAGCUGGUCCACCUGUAGGAAGAAUUGCGCUAUUGGUUGGAGCAGCACUAUUACCCAGCCAUACACCAGCACUUAGUUUGUCAUAGGGAGCAUUUCUGAGCAGUUAUGGAGACCACUAACUAUGCAGUUGUUGCAGUGAAACUUGCACCAGUGUGUUUUCUGUGGAGAUAAAGAGAUAGUGUCCAGCAAUGAAGACCCAACUCAAGAUCUGACCUUGUAAGGCCAAUAUGAAAUAACUGUGUGGGAAAAUGGGAAAAACCUGCAGUCAGGAAUGCACGGAAAUCAUCAAAAGAACAGUGUUAAAUUAAUCUUGAAUAACUUUACAUUUAUUUUGUUUGACAUAAUUAUUCAUGGUGCAGUGAAAACAUUCUUUUUUUCUCAUGGUUAUUUAAAUUUAGAAUUGAUAGGAGGGAACAUCAUCACUAUGUGUUUUUUCAUGUUCAUAGUCAGAUCAAAACCCAUGUACAUGCCCAAAUGAGCAUUCGAAAAUAUCAAAAUGGUACUUGUUGUAUGUAGUGUAAGUUAAUUAACAUAAUAAACAGAAAUAUUUAA